AGUGAACGCUGGCGGUAGGCCUAACACAUGCAAGUCGAGCGGCAGCACAGGAAGAGCGUGCUCUUACGGGUGGCGGGGGACGGGCGGGUGAGGAGUAGAUCAGAAUCUACUUUGUCGGGGGGAAUAACGGGGGAAAGGUGACGCUAAUAGAGAAUAUAACGAACGGGUGAAAGCAGGGGAGCAUGGGGGCUUGGGCGAUUGAAUGAGCCGAAUUCGGAUUAGCUAGUUGGCGGGGUAAAGGCCCACCAAGGCAACGAUACGUAGCCGGGCUGAGAGGAUGAUCAGCCACACUGGAACUGAGACACGGUCCAGACUCCUACGGGAGGCAGCAGUGGGGAAUCUUCGACAAUGGGCGCAAGCCUGACCCAGCCACACCGCGUGGGUGAAGAAGGCCUUCGGGUUGUAAAACCCUUUUGUUGGGGAAGAACAACAGUAGGUUUAACCAUCGCCGUUUUGACGGUACCCAAAGAAUAAGCCACGGCUAACUUCGUG
rnacentral:rRNA from 1 species